rnacentral:rRNA from 1 species
AUUGAACGCUGGCGGCAGGCCUAACACAUGCAAGUCGAGCGAGCGGCGGACGGGUGAGUAAUGUAUGGGGACUGCCCGAUAGAGGGGGAUAACUACUGGAAACGGUGGCUAAUACCGCAUACUAUCGGAUAACCCAUAUGGGAUUAGCUAGUUGGUGGGGUAACGGCUCACCUAGGCCACGAUCUAUAGCUGAUCUGAGAGGAUGAUCAGCCACACUGGGACUGAGACACGGCCCAGACUCCUACGGAGGCAGCAGUGGGGAAUCUUCGGCAAUGGGCGAAAGUCUGAUGGAGCAACGCCGCGUGUAUGAAGAAGGUUUUCGGGUUGUAAAGUACUUUUAGUAGGGAGGCGGUACCUGCACAAGAAGCACCGGCUAACUACGUGCCAGCAGCCGCGGUAAUUC